UCAUCUUCUCUCAGCCACGCACGCGAAAUCGAAACCAAACCUAGCCUUCAUCUUCUCCGUUUCAGCAAUCGGUGAUUCUUCGCUACCUCACUUGAUCUAUCGUUCACUCUCUCACUAGAUCGAACUCAUUCUCUCUCUCUCUCCCUAUCACACUCGUUCUCUCUCGAACCCUAGCCUCCAAUCCCUUUCACUGAAUCACAAAUUCAAUCCCUAAUUGAAGAAUCAAGGCUUACUGAACCCAAAUCGAAGAUCAGUGAAACGAUUAAGGGUUGUUACAGAGUCAUAAUUGCACCGCCUCUGCUCUCGAUCUAAAACUAGCUAUAAAGGUGGAAAAUAUGAUAAAGCUAAAUGAUGAAUUUGAUUACAAAAGCUUAUCAAGAAGGAUAGACAUAUAAGUAGGUAAACUCAUUAUGCAACAUGAUAGACAGCAGAAGGCAUUUGAGGAUGAGAUUGAAAGCUUAGGUACUGAAGCACAACAUCUGAUACUUGAGGCUUAAAGAAACUUUGUAGAAUCAUUGGAGAUGAUGAUAAUUGACUCUAAAUUACCUUAUCCAAGUGGAACUGCUACAGGUGUUCUUAUUAAUGGAUUCCAUACUCCUUAAGGAAAUGUCAUGGCCAAGUAUGAUUACGAGGCCGAUUAUGUUUGUGUUAUUUGUCUUCUAUAUUUGUAAUUUCAAGAUGAAAACAUAUAAAACUAGUUUGGCAUCUUUGACAGGAAGUAACUUAAGGUUUUCACGCAAUUCUUCUCACUCAGUUUGCUUUGGUCUUUCUUCCAAUGGUUCUAUGCUGGUGGAGACCAAUGUGGAUUUGGUAAGUUUCCUACUUUCGGGUGGAAAGCGUGGAAAAACACGUGUGUGCUUUGAUUCUAUCUCUCUUUUUUUUAAUAGGCAAAUGUUAGUAUAUUAGUGUUAUGUUAGUAUUUUCUCUUUUGUCAGGGUUGAACCGGUCCUUUAACUUCAACUUCUGUAACUCUCUUUUUAGUUUUAUGAAUCAGAACUAUGAAACAUUUGUCGAUUGUAUUGAUUUGAAUGUUUGAUUUUUUUGCGGAUUUUACUUUGAUUUCAGCAUGACUUAUGUUGGAGCAGGAAUGAUCUGUUCUCAUCUUGUCAAUUUAUCAUUGUUUUUCGGUGUUGUGGUUUCAUGGGGCAUUAUGUGGCCAUUGAUCAGAGUACUUAAAGGAAGUUGGUUCUCUGAAAGUGUACCGGAGAGUAGCAUGAAGAGUCUUAAUGGUUAUAAGGUCUUUGAAUGAACACAAAUUGAAGGACACACUAUUAGAACUAACAUGAUUUCAGUUUUGAUUUUUUUCCAUUUUAAGCCUUAACUUUCCUUUAUUUUCAUGAUGCAGGUUUUUAUUUCCAUUGCAUUAAUCCUUGGUGAUGAACUCUACAAUUUUAUCAAAAUUAUAUAUUUUAGUGCCUUUUUAUCUUCUCUUUAUUUCUUGGUUUUGUUUCCCUUUUCUAUUAUGUUAAUGGUGUUUCCCUUGUUGAUGACUUUCUAUAUAUAAAGUCUUAGUGUAUGGAGAUUGUCCAUUUCUUGUUUCAUACCUUCUUGAUUUUUCAGCAUCAACCUCGGGAGUAGAUGGGAGCUUGUCGGUAUCUAGAUUUCCCGUUGAUCAUGAAAUCAAUUUGAGGAUUUAUUUGUAGAUGGAUUCUGUUGUAAAUUCAACCAAUGAGGUGUUCAAUGAUCCCACGACAUUAACAAAGGAGGAGCUGUAUGAUUUGCGAGACCGCUGGGCAACUUGUUUUCUUGACCUAUAUAAUCCUGAGGUAGAUUAUGAUGAUGCCGAUGA